rfam:Myotis brandtii contig249117, whole genome shotgun sequence.
AGCGUUUCUCAGGCGACGCACCCUGGAAUUGGGCUCCCUCCUCUCUGGUUCUGGGUGUGUCAGCCAAGAACUACA